UUUUUACAGAAGUAUAGUUGAUUUACAGUGUUGUGCAAAUUUCUGCUGUAUUGCACCUCAGUUUUUUAUCCAUUAAAUGGGAUGGCUGACCGUGGUCCUGCCUGGUUAGAGGGCUGAGAUGUGCGUGAGGCAGAAUACUAACUCAGUGGAGGAGCAUGGGCUUCGAUGCAAUCUUUGAUGUGGCUAUUGAUUAACAUUUGUGGUUUAAGGGCUCCAGAGAACAAGAUCCCCACAGGCCUUGUUUACUACAGGAAGCGUAUCUAUGCCCACAUGGACCUUAAUCUCUAACCCACUUCUCAGCUGAUAGAAAAGAAAUGAGAGGAAUGGUGACUCAGUCUAAGGGAAGAGAAAGGCAAAGAAAUCAUAAAACUUACGGGACAUUUCCACCCCUAAAACCCCUAUUGGACAAGGACUGAUAGAGGUAACUGGGCAAGGCCAAUGGGAGAAAAACCUCAUCCUUCUGGACCCCACGUUGGUAACCCCAUCUUUAAGGGAUAAAAACCCCUACGGGACAAUGGAAAAGGAGACUCUUUUUCCUGCUCUCAGUAGCCCAGGGAGCUAUUUGCUUUCCUGUAAUAAAGACUUUACUUGCUUGCUGCCUGUGUGUUGGCAGAGUUCAUUCUUCGACUGCAUGGACAAGAACCCGGAUUCCGGUAACAUCUUUCCAGAAUAGAGUUUUCACCCCCCACCCCCAGCCCUGAGGGCAGCUUUGGCUGCUGAGGUCCCAGAAGCACGGCUAAGGCUCAGGCCGCUCCCCCCUCCCUGAGAGGCCCUUGGUGGCCCGCAGCCAGGACCUCAGGGACAUUUCUAGUUUGGCAAACUAAGCUGGUUCUUUUAACCUCAGGUGUCCCUGAAGGAAACUCAGAAAAAGAAACCCUGAUUUACUAAGGCCUCGCUUAAGAUCAGAACUUAAGUCUAGAGAUAAGCGCUCCUCCAAGCCCUGCCCUCACCUCCGGAGCGCACUCCUCUGACCAAAAACUUCCCUCAACCUUUGCUUCCAGAGGUUCCUCCUCAGCCCCUUCCUCCUCCGAGAUGCUCCAGCCUCUGCUGCCUCCGCGUCUGCCCCUUCAGCCCUCCUCACCGCCUUCAGAGAGUCUCUCCCUCAAAUGCUUGCAUCUCUUCCUCCGUGCUGCUCAGGCCUCUG
rnacentral:lncRNA from 9 species